rnacentral:rRNA from 1 species
UACGAAGGGUGCAAACGUUGCUCGGAAUCAUUGGGCGUAAAGCGCACGUAGGCGGCUUUGCAAGUCGGAUGUGAAAUCCCGUGGCUCAACCAUGGACGUGCAUUCGAAACUGCGAAGCUUGAGUAUGGAAGAGGGUCGCGGAAUUCCCGGUGUAGAGGUGAAAUGCGCAGAUAUUGGGAAGAACACCAGUGGCGAAGGCGGUUCUCUGGGACGGUACUGACGCUGAGACGCGAAAGCGUGGGGAGCGAACAGG